rnacentral:rRNA from 1 species
UACGAAGGGGGCUAGCGUUGCUCGGAAUCACUGGGCGUAAAGCGCACGUAGGCGGCUUAUUAAGUCAGAGGUGAAAUCCUGGAGCUCAACUCCAGAACUGCCUUUGAUACUGAUGAGCUUGAGUCCGGGAGAGGUGAGUGGAACUGCGAGUGUAGAGGUGAAAUUCGUAGAUAUUCGCAAGAACACCAGUGGCGAAGGCGGCUCACUGGCCCGGUACUGACGCUGAGGUGCGAAAGCGUGGGGA